ACGGGUGAGUAAUGCCUAGGAAUCUGCCUGGUAGUGGGGGACAACGUUUCGAAAGGAACGCUAAUACCGCAUACGUCCUACGGGAGAAGCAGGGGACCUUCGGGCCUUGCGCUAUCAGAUGAGCCUAGGUCGGAUUAGCUAGUUGGUGAGGUAAUGGCUCACCAAGGCGACGAUCCGUAACUGGUCUGAGAGGAUGAUCAGUCACACUGGAACUGAGACACGGUCCAGACUCCUACGGGAGGCAGCAGUGGGGAAUAUUGGACAAUGGGCGAAAGCCUGAUCCAGCCAUGCCGCGUGUGUGAAGAAGGUCUUCGGAUUGUAAAGCACUUUAAGUUGGGAGGAAGGGCAGUCAGCGAAUACCUUGCUGCUUUGACGUUACCGACAGAAUUAGCACCGGCUAACUCUGUGCCAGCAGCCGCGGUAAUACAGAGGGUGCAAGCGUUAAUCGGAAUUACUGGGCGUAAAGCGCGCGUAGGUGGUUUGUUAAGUUGGAUGUGAAAUCCCCGGGCUCAACCUGGGAACUGCAUCCAAAACUGGCAAGCUAGAGUAGGGCAGAGGGUGGUGGAAUUUCCUGUGUAGCGGUGAAAUGC
rnacentral:rRNA from 1 species